rnacentral:rRNA from 1 species
AACGAACGCUGGCGGCAUGCCUAACACAUGCAAGUCGAACGAGACCUUCGGGUCUAGUGGCGCACGGGUGCGUAACGCGUGGGAACCUGCCCUUAGGUUCGGAAUAACUCCCCGAAAGGGGUGCUAAUACCGGAUAAUGUCUUCGGUCCAAAGAUUUAUCGCCUUUGGAUGGGCCCGCGUUGGAUUAGCUAGUUGGUAGGGUAAAAGCCUACCAAGGCGACGAUCCAUAGCUGGUCUGAGAGGAUGAUCAGCCACACUGGGACUGAGACACGGCCCAGACUCCUACGGGAGGCAGCAGUGGGGAAUAUUGGACAAUGGGCGAAAGCCUGAUCCAGCAAUGCCGCGUGAGUGAUGAAGGCCUUAGGGUUGUAAAGCUCUUUUACCCGGGAUGAUAAUGACAGUACCGGCAGAAUAAGCUCCGGCUAACUCCGUG